GGGGCCGUGGUCUAGUGGUAGGACGCCCGGCUCACAACCGGGAGGUCGGCGGUUCGAUUCCGCCCGGCCCCACCA
rnacentral:tRNA from 1 species